GAUUGAAAGAAGUAAUAGAUUCGAUUAUUAUUCGUUGAUAUGCUUGCUAACUGUAUAAGGUUAGACACGACUUAUGAAACUUUCGAAGAAUCAGAAGACGGAAAUUCUGAAUGUUCCGGUAUGAAUCAUCUCCUUUAAAAAAAUCU